GUGCUACAAAAAUGGGCGGAGACUGCAAGCAAGAGGGAAUGAAGCGACUCGAGUCACGAAGAGUCCUGUGACUUGCGAGAGGUGACAUGUAACUAUGAGAAAUUGAAAUAUUUGAUUAUCGAGUAAAUAACAUUGAGUUCCCUAUAUUUUUAUUUUUAGUAAAUAACGAUACAUUAGUUUCAGUUUAUUUCAAAUAGGUUCCUCAUCCUUUGCCAGUGACCAAGUUGUGCAACCCUAACAUCCACAGCACCUCUUUUCGCUUCAAUCAUGACCGGAGCAUCAGAGCUUGAGUCUAUCCUUUUAUGUUCAUCUCCGUCUUGUUCUUCAUCCAUUUUUGCAUCUUCUACAUGAAUGGCUUCUGGUUCUUUGGUUUGAUUUUCUUCUGUGCUGCCUUUUGGUUCUCUCCCUUCGCCGACUUGUUCAGCCACUUUCGUAGUUUCAAUUCUGGAGCUCUGAAGGGGGCCAGUCAAUGAAGCUGUAGCUGAGUCCAUCAAUGCUGAUUCCUCAGUUUUUAUUUCCCCUGAUUCUUGUGGUUGUUGCUCUCCUUCGAGGUUAAUCUUUGCUUUUUGUGGAGUUUCUGUGGUUCCUUAUUGCUCAAAAAUUUUUGGCGCAAACUCAUCUCCAGUUUGAACUGGUGUGUAUGGGCGCUCAAUGAGAUCUGCUUCAGUUGUUGCAUAAGAGCUUUUCUCUAACUCACUAGUUUCUUGAAUGAUUUUGCUGUCUGUUGCAAACCCCCUUAUGCUUUCUUUUUGUGACAUCGCCAUACUCGAUUCUUGAUAAAAUUAAAAGUAAAGCUGCUCAAAUUGUGAAAAAUAAAAGAAAAACCGAAAUGUCUAAUUAAUAUCUGCAAGCAAAAUGGCUUUCAUAAUUUAGCUGCAUUCUUGUCCUACUAAGUUAUGUUU
rnacentral:lncRNA from 1 species